GGGCGUAAGGGCUCGUAGGUGGUUGAUCGCGUCGGAAGUGUAAUCUUGGGGCUUACCCUGGAGCGUGCUUUCGAUACGGGUUGACUUGAGGAAGGUAGGGGAGAAUGGAAUGNCUGGNGGAGCGGUGGAAUGCGCAGAUAUCAGGAGGAACACCAGUGGCGAAGGCGGUUCUCUGGGCCUUUCCUGACGCUGAGGAGCGAAAGCGUGGGGAGCGAACAGGCUUAGAUACCCUGGUAGUCCACGCUGUAAACGGUGGGUACUAGGUGUGGGGUCCAUUCCACGGGUUCCGCGCCGUAGCUAACGCUUUAAGUACCCCCGCCUGGGGAGUACGGCCGCAAGGCUAAAACUCAAGGAAUNGACGGGGCCCGCACAAGCGGCGGAGCAUGCGGAUUAAUUCGAUGCACGCGUAGAACUUACUGGGUUUGACAUGGAUCGGGANUGCUCAGAGAUGGGUGUGCUC
rnacentral:rRNA from 1 species